CCGUUGCUACUUUCUCCUUGGAAAUAACACUUUCCUUGACCCCUCCAAAAACCACAAAACCCAGAAAUUUACCUUUUCACUUACACUGGAAAAGAGCUUCAAUGGCAUCCUUGUUGGUCUCCAUCAACUUCUCUAUGCCUCUCUCCGCCCCUAAAUUCUCAUUCAGGGAAUUACAACAAAGGAAAUCAGCUUUUACUUGACUAUCAAGCCAAGCAACAACCAGGACAGCAACCAACCGAUUGGUCCCUUGCAACUCAAUUAGAGAGAUACUUUCUGUGAAUCAGAGCUUCCGUGGAUAUCGAACAACACCCACCAACCUUUAUUACGAACUUGUUUCUAGUUGUAUGCAUGUAAGUUCUUAUACUCACAAAACAGUAACUGGUUAUUGGGUGGGACCAGAUAUAGAUGAUGGUUGAGGAUUUGUAGAAGCUUUCGUUAAUCAAAUUUCUUGAUUUUUUUAAAA